UUAUUUAUUUCAUUAUGUUUUUUAUUUGUUAAUUUUAUUAUAUAAUAGAAGUAAUUUUGUUGUUUAUUUGUCUUAGUAUAUUUUGUAGAAUUGAUUUUUUAUAUUAUAGUUUAUUAGUAAUGUAAUUGGAUUUUGAAAUAUUUUUUAAGUUUAAAAAAGUAAAUUUUAUUUAUUGUACCUUUUGUAUCAGGGUUUAUCAAAAUUAUAGUAUUUAUUUACUUGUCUCGAUUUAGGUUGAUUUAAAAACAGCUCACAGUUAAUGUUUCAUAAUUAUUAUUGAGCUGUUUUUAGAAAUGAAAUGUUAAUCGUUUCCUAAGAUAUCUAGUUUCUCAAGAAAAAAUUUAAUUUUUUAAGGUUUAUUGUUUUUACUUAAUUUUUUAGGUGAAAAUAUUUACUUGUUAAUUCUCUAGGGGAUAAGCUCUGGAGUUAUAAUCUAUAAUUUAUUUAAUUUAAUAUAAUAGUAGGCUUUAAACCAGCUAUCUUUAAGAUUACGUUUUAGUUCAUUAUUUUUUGAUUUGAUUUUAUAAUUGUUUUAGUUUAUUUAUUGAGGUUUAAAAUUUAAUUUUGAAAUUUUUGUAAUAAUGAUGGAAUUAGUAUAUUUAUUUGUUUAUUAUUUUUUCUUAUGUUAAUUUAUUAUAAGGAACUAGGCAAAAUUGAUUUCCGCCUGUUUAUCAAAAACAUGUCCUCUUGAAUAUAUUAUGAGGUCUGGCCUGCUCACUGACGAAGGAUUUUAAAGAGCCGCGGUAUUUUGACCGUGCAAAGGUAGCAUAAUCAUUAGUCUCUUAAUUAGGGGCUGGAAUGAAUGGCUUGACGAGAAAUCAACUGUCUCUUAAUAAAUUUUUGAAUUUAACUUUUGAGUCAAAAGGCUUAAAUUUUUCUUUAGGACGAGAAGACCCUAUAGAGCUUGACAUCUUAUUUAUAUAUAAUUUUUGGUUAGUCUUUUUAUAUUUAAUGAUAAUGUUUUGUUGGGGUGACAUGAAGAAUAACUAAACUCUUCAUUAUUAAAUCAUUGAUUUAUGUAUGUAUAAUGAUCCAUAAUUUAUGAUCACAAGAUUAAGUUACCUUAGGGAUAACAGCGUAAUUAUUUUCGAGAGCUCAUAUCGACAAAUUAGAUUGCGACCUCGAUGUUGGAUUAAGAAAAAUUUUGGGUGCAGGAGCCCAAUGAUUAGGUCUGUUCGACCUUUAAAUUCUUACAUGAUCUGAGUUCAGACCGGCGUGAGCCAGGUCGGUUUCUAUCCUAAGUUUAUUUAACCACAUUAGUACGAAAGGACCAUGUGGUUAAAAUAUUUUUUAUGUUAUUGAUUUAUAUUAAUAGUU
rnacentral:rRNA from 1 species